rnacentral:rRNA from 1 species
UACGAAGGGGGCUAGCGUUGUUCGGAUUUACUGGGCGUAAAGCGCACGUAGGCGGAUCGUUAAGUGAGGGGUGAAAUCCCAGGGCUCAACCCUGGAACUGCCUUUCAUACUGGCGAUCUUGAGUCCGGAAGAGGUGAGUGGAACUCCUAGUGUAGAGGUGGAAUUCGUAGAUAUUAGGAAGAACACCAGUGGCGAAGGCGGCUCACUGGUCCGGUACUGACGCUGAGGUGCGAAAGCGUGGGGAGCGAACAGG